ensembl:snRNA U6 U6 spliceosomal RNA
GUUCUCACUUCAGGAGCACGUAUACUAAAAUUGGAACAAUACAGAGAAGAUUAGCUUGGCCACUGCACAGGAUGACAUGCAAGUUCAUGAAGCGUUCCAUAUUUUU